CCUACGGGAGGCAGCAGUGAGGAAUAUUGGUCAAUGGACGAGAGUCUGAACCAGCCAAGUAGCGUGAAGGAUGACUGCCCUAUGGGUUGUAAACUUCUUUUAUAAAGGAAUAAAGCGAGGCACGUGUGCCUUUUUGCAUGUACUUCAUGAAUAAGGAUCGGCUAAUUCCGUGCCAGCAGCCGCGGUAAUACGGAGGAUCCGAGCGUUAUCCGGAUUUAUUGGGUUUAAAGGGAGCGUAGGUGGGUUGUUAAGUCAGUUGUGAAAGUUUGCGGCUCAACCAUAAAAUUGCAAUUGAAACUGGAAGUCUUGAGUGCAGUUGAGGCAGGCGGAAUUCGUGGUGUAGCGGUGAAAUGCUUAGAUAUCACGAAGAACCCCGAUUGCGAAGGCAGCUUGCUAAACUGUGACUGACGUUGAUGCUCGAAAGUGUGGGUAUCAAACAGGAUUAGAUACCCUGGUAGUC
rnacentral:rRNA from 1 species